rnacentral:rRNA from 1 species
UACGUAGGGGGCAAGCGUUGUCCGGAAUCAUUGGGCGUAAAGCGCGUGUAGGCGGCCCGGUAAGUCUGUUCUGAAAGCCCGGGGCUCAACCCCGGGAGGCGGGUGGAUACUCCUUGGCUCGAGUCCGGAAGAGGCGAGUGGAAUUCCCGGUGUAGCGGUGAAAUGCGCAGAUAUCGGGAGGAACACCAAUGGCGAAGGCAGCUCGCUGGGAAGGUGCUGACGCUGAGACGCGAAAGCGUGGGGAGCAAACAGG